CAGCCGCCGCGGUAAUACGGAGGGAGCUAGCGUUGUUCGGAAUUACUGGGCGUAAAGCGCGCGUAGGCGGUUACUCAAGUCAGAGGUGAAAGCCCGGGGCUCAACCCCGGAACUGCCUUUGAAACUAGGUGACUAGAAUCUUGGAGAGGUCAGUGGAAUUCCGAGUGUAGAGGUGAAAUUCGUAGAUAUUCGGAAGAACACCAGUGGCGAAGGCGACUGACUGGACAAGUAUUGACGCUGAGGUGCGAAAGCGUGGGGAGCAAACAGGAUUAGAUACCCCCGUAGUCCCUGUCUCUUUACA
rnacentral:rRNA from 1 species